GAUGUUGUAUUGUAAUUUGUAAUUUAGAAAUAAAUUCAUUGUAAGUAGAAUUCAGAAACACCGAAGAACAUAGCAUAAUUUAUAUUAAAUUAAAUAAAAAAAAUUGAUAAGAAUGGGGAAAGCUCGUAUAAUUUGGAACAGAAGUAUGGAAGGUUUUGUUUUAGAUAUGUGGGAUAAUAACAUUAAAGAUUUGCAAAAACAUAAAAAAAAUGGACAUAUUUAUGGUGAUAUGGCUGCUAGUGUUAAUUCGCAAUUUGGUAUUACAGAUGUAACACAAAAGGAUAUACAAGUAAAAAUACAUAAUUUGACACAAAGAUACAGGCAAGAAAGGAAAUUAAUUGCUUCUGGAGCAGGUUCUAACUGGCCUUUAUACGAGAGGAUAAACAAGCUCUUAAUGAAAGGGUGCAAAAAAUUUAAAAGUAAAUUUGGUUCAAAUGAUUCCGGCAGCAUAAGUGAAGCAAAAAGUAGUUAUGAGGAAGAGGAUUCUAGAAUUGGGGAAUAUGACCACCAAAUUUCAAUUGAAGAUGUUAAACUAAUGCCUCGCACUAUACAGGAAACAGAUAUUUCUUUACAACUAACACCCAGAUCUUAUCAAAAAACGCAUUCAACACCAGAAAUGUCUGAUCAACCAAAUAAUUUUCCCAGAAUAAUUGAAAACAGUAAUCAAGAAAAACCAUUCGAUCAAUUUGGAAAAUAUGUUGCAGCAGAACUUCGUCAAUUGCCACAACGUCAAGCAAUCUUACUACAACAAGAAUUGCAAAAUUGUAUUAUACGUACCAAAUUAUCUUGUCUGGAAUGUGUGCAAACAAAUUUUUCAAAUUAUGAAAAUCAUAAUAAUAUUAACAAUACAACAAUAUCAACAUCUUCAAAUUCCUACGAUAUGCCGCAUAUGUCUUACAACAAUAAAAUAAAUCAAAAUUGUUAUAACUCUCAGAGAUAACUAGCAUAAAACAAGAUAAAUAAGAAAUCCUUCUAUUUAAAUCCUUUCAAAAAAAACCGAAUUGGAAUUAAUUUAUAAUUUUACUUACUUAUGAACUCCAAUAACACCUGGUUCUUGACAUUCAUAUGCAUAACAACCACCAUCUUUACCAAAUGGUCUAUAAAAUUGUCCUACACCAAAUACAUGACCAUCAGCUUUAUAAUAACAAAAAUCCGGAUGAUCUAAAUCAUUUUUAGUAGAAUAUUAAAAUAUUAAUAAAUAAUUUUAAUAUUUAGAACUUAUUUUUAAUAUUUUAUUUAAAAAAACUUUUAAUAUAUUAUAAUUUAUAGAACUUUAUACUACCUGGAUGAGUUGCU